AGCCUCCUCAAGCCCUCCUUCUCCGGCGUCCGCCUCCCGGCGGCGGCCCGCACCCCGUCCUGCGUCGCCACCCCGCGUGCCGGCGCCAUCUGCAACUCCAUCUCCUCCUCCACACCUCCCUACGACCUCAACGCCUUCAAGUUCAGCCCCAUCAAGGAGUCCAUCGUGUCCCGCGAGAUGACCCGCCGCUACAUGACCGACAUGAUCACCUACGCCGACACCGACGUCGUCAUCGUCGGCGCCGGAUCCGCGGGGCUUUCCUGCGCGUACGAGCUCUCCAAGGACCCCUCCAUCAGCAUCGCCAUCAUCGAGCAGUCCGUGUCCCCCGGCGGCGGCGCCUGGCUCGGCGGCCAGCUCUUCUCCGCCAUGGUCGUGCGCAAGCCGGCGCACCUCUUCCUCGACGAGCUCAACAUCGAGUACGACGAGCAGGAGGACUACGUCGUCAUCAAGCACGCCGCGCUCUUCACCUCCACGGUCAUGAGCCGCCUCCUCGCGCGCCCCAACGUCAAGCUCUUCAACGCCGUCGCCGUGGAGGACCUCAUCGUCAAGGAGGACCGCGUCGCCGGCGUCGUCACCAACUGGGCGCUCGUCUCCAUGAACCACGACACACAGUCCUGCAUGGACCCCAACGUCAUGGAGGCCAAGGUCGUGGUGAGCUCUUGCGGCCACGACGGGCCCUUCGGCGCCACCGGGGUCAAGCGGCUCCAGGACAUCGGCAUGAUCCAGGCGGUGCCCGGGAUGAAGGCGCUCGACAUGAACACGGCCGAGGAUGCCAUCGUGCGCCUCACCCGGGAGGUGGUCCCCGGCAUGAUUGUCACCGGCAUGGAGGUCGCCGAGAUCGACGGCGCCCCGAGAAUGGUACUCCUAAAUUUUGCUUUCCUAUACACGCGUCCUCUUCUUGGAAGAAGAGGAAGAAUCUCUUUUCGACUUGUGCUGGACUGACCCGAUUAAUUUGUUUUGUCUUGUGGCGGCGGUUGGUUACAGGGCCCGACCUUCGGCGCCAUGAUGAUCUCCGGCCAGAAGGCGGCGCACCUGGCGCUCAAGGCCCUCGGCCGGCCGAACGGCAUCGACGGGACGCUCAAGAACGUGACCCCGGCGCUGCACCCGGAGAUGAUCCUGGCGGCGACCAACAACGGCGACAUCGUGGACGCCUAAGCAAAGCAAUGAACCACGGACACCAAGGCGUACGUACGCUGGUGUUUCGGGGCGAAAAAUCAAUAAGAUGGUUCGGUGAAACAGAGGAUGCUUAGGGACGAGGUCUUGUCUUUGUGAUUUGUC
rnacentral:lncRNA from 1 species